rnacentral:tRNA from 1 species
GCCCGGCUAGCUCAGUGGGUAGAGCAUGAGACUCUUAAUCUCAGGUUGUGUGUUCGAGCCUGACAUUGGGUG